AGCCCCCAGCCCCGCGUUCGCCUAGUCCCUGAGGAACGCCCCGGCCGCCUCCCGCCGCCGCCUGAGGGCCGGGGGGGGGGGGAGCCGCCGCCGCCGCGGGGGCGGAGGCAGCGGCAGCGAGCGAGCGGGCGGGCGCCUCCCCGAGCGGCGCCCCCGGUCCUGACGGCGUUUCCGGGCGGGGGAGCCGGGAUGUGCGUCCGGGUUGGGUCGGCCCCCGCGAGCGGUUUCCUCUCGCCUUCCCUCCUGCUCCCCUUCCCUGCCUCCCUCCCUCGCCGUCGCUGAGGUGGAGCCGCCGCCGUGCCCUCUGAGGGAGCGCCGCCCGCCCGCCCGCUCCUGCAAGGGAAUCAGUAGUUUCCUGAAUAAGCUAGAGAGUCACUUGGGCUGCAGAGAUGUUGGAAGAAGAUAUGGAGGUGGCCAUCAAGGUGGUGGUAGUAGGAAAUGGAGCUGUUGGAAAGUCCAGUAUGAUUCAGCGAUAUUGCAAGGGGAUUUUUACAAAAGACUACAAGAAAACUAUUGGUGUAGAUUUCCUGGAAAGACAAAUCCAAGUUAAUGAUGAAGAUGUCAGGCUAAUGUUAUGGGACACUGCGGGUCAAGAAGAAUUUGAUGCAAUAACUAAGGCCUACUAUCGAGGAGCCCAGGCUUGUGUUCUUGUGUUUUCUACAACUGACAGAGAGUCCUUCAAAGCAAUCCCUACCUGGAAGGAGAAAGUCAUGACUGAAGUUGGAGACAUUCCCACAGUUCUGGUGCAGAAUAAGAUUGAUCUUCUUGAUGACUCUUGUAUAAAGAAUGAAGAGGCAGAAGCCCUGGCAAAAAAGCUAAAAUUAAGGUUCUACCGAGCAUCGGUGAAGGAAGACCUAAACGUAACAGAAGUUUUUAAGUAUUUGGCUGAUAAGUAUCUUCAAAGGCUCAAGCAACAAACAGCUGAAGAUCCAGAACUAGCACACACAAGUAGUAACAAGAUUGGUGUUUUUAAUACAGCUGGUGGAAGUCACUCCAACCAAAAUUCUAGCACUCUUAAUGGUGGAGAUGUCAUCAACCUUAGACCAAACAAACAGAGGACCAAGAAAAACAGAAGUCCUUUUAGCAACUGCAGCAUACCUUAGACCACUUUUGGAGGAGGAAAAAAAAAAACCACCCAGUGAACUGGAUGAAGUUGUGCAAUUGAGUACAGAUUAAAGCCAGCUGUAGAGGUAUUUUUACCAGUGCUUUAGCAAAUCUUGUGCCUAUGGGAUCCUUGAUAGAGCGUGGAUUUACAUCAACUUGCUGAUGCAGUGUUUUUUGGUGUGUAGAGUGAGGCACCUGCUGGCAAAACACAGAACUGUGGCUGCCGCGUGCACUUUGUAAAAAUUACGCAAGCUUCUCCUUUUUCAAGGAAUUAUUUACAGAGCUAUGAACUAGGUAUUGCUGAACUGCAAAGCACAUUUAACAUAAGGAUAAUACUUACAACUGUAGGUACAGACCAUAACACUAUGGCCCAAGGUAAAGUAGCAACCUUGCAACUAAAUUUCAAAAAAGAUGUUAGAAUUGGUUAGUCAGGACACUAAGAAGAUAAAUGAAGAGCAAAAAGUAGGCACUGCAUUUUAUGCCUGACUAUAUUAAUAUGGAUUCUGGCAGUUCUGUUGGUGCAAUAUACUUGUAUUAUAUAUAUGAGUGCUAAGGUAUAUAUGUAAACAUUUGCUAUGAAUAUUUAGGCUAAAUUCCAGUGUAUGCAUUAUUUGGAGAUCAGCUAAUGAUCAUAAAAUAGCAUCUUCCAAAAAAAAAUUUGACUUUAAAAAUGUUGCAUUUUAGAUGAGGCUUUCCCAGCUGCCACUGUGUACGUUUAACUUGCUAUACUUUGGGCCUAAAAGCUUAGAUUUAAAAAUGUAUGGUGCCAGAACUGCUCCUUCUUUUUACCUAAUGCUGUGCUACGGAUGUUUUUGUAAGUUUGUUUUUCUCAGUCUUAACAGGUUGAACAAAUAACACAGUCUUUGACACUAACAGCUAUUCAGAAGGAACAUAUAAUCACAUUCCUGUUCAAAUUUAAUUGUUGCAUCCUGUGUUGUCUAUGAAAAAGGAACUUGCAAAGUGGUGUCACAAAAUAUUUAUCUUCUUUGGAAAAUCUUUUCAUAGAUACCAUAAACUAAGUUAUGGAGGAUCCAAAAAAAUGCAGCUGAUGACUGAAUUACACGAACGAGACUUUCUUGAAUGUUGUCUCAGAUUCAGAGUUAGCUGCUGCUUACAGAAAAUCUAAUUCUGCAAGAUCAGAGACAUGGCAAAAAUUUUUUAAAGUGCUUAAGUAAUUUUACAGAAUUGAUUUCGAUGUUUAGGAGCCCAAAUCUAAAGUAAAGUUAUUUGGACUUAGGCUCCUAAAUCACUAAGGUGCUUUUAAAAAUGCUAAGCAAGAUAUCUUUUAUUUACCAAAAAUAAAUACUUUCUAAUCCUCUUCAAGAGCAUGCAUGCCUUUUAAAAAGUAUCCAUUUUGUUUACAUGUUUUUGUAUGGUAUGAUAUAAUUUUAACUUUCUGGGAUUUCUACAACAAACCUGCCAGUGACAAAUGCAAAAUAUGCUGCUUUAAAAAAUUCAGAGUUUUAAUAGUUUUUUAAAUGGUGUAUGAGAAUGAAAAUGAGUCGAGUGAUCCUGUAUAUUUUUGGAGGAAGGACUUUUCACUGUGUGAAUUCAUGUAGGAAGCUUGACUUACUUUGUUUGUAAGUCAAUGAGUGUGAAAACUGAAAUGUACUUUUUCCCACUGUCUGGCAAGUUAUGCACAAACACUAAAGAUCUCUGAACUCUGUAUUUUAUGUUUACUAUAUUAGACUUUCUACCAAGUACCAUUGUUUCUUUGACAAGCUGUUAGAGCAUCUCCUGUUGCUGGCAAGAAGGCAGCCUUCAAGGCACUUGAUCCCCUUUGCUAAUGCAGCAAAACUGUGUGUUCUUCACCGUAAUGUUUCCUGUAUUUUCUCUUGGAUAAAGGCCUUUAUUUUUUAACAAGUGCAUUUAUUUAAUCACUGUAUGUAUGUAUAAAUGGAGUCAAGUCCUAUCUGUCUCAGCAAUUUAAGAAGUAAGGUACUUAGGACAAGACUGCCAAUUGCACGUGAUGGGGCCACCUUACAAUUUCAGGAUGUAGGAUAGAGUGUAUGCAUGAAGAAUUUUGACAACUGUUUUUAAUAUGGAACCUUUUACAUUUUGUUGUCUGUCUGCCAGUUUCAUGGUUUUUAUUAAUUUUUCUUGAAAAAGAAACAAAACCACAAAGUGUCUGAAACAUCUUUUUUGCCUUGUUUGUACAGAGUACUGAAAAAUAAGUCUUUAUUACAUAUAAUGAGCAUUUGUACUAUCACGUUACACUGUAGACAUUGUACUAUUACGUAAGCCAUUUCUAUUCAAGGUCUGUCAUUAUAAACCACUGUUCUAAGGACUGAAAACUCAGUAGAAAUUUUCCUAGGUGGAGACUUGACAGACUUGCUAAAUUUAAGGUAUGUUGAAAUUUAGUACACAUACUUUAACGUAGAAAUAUAUAUUUGUAGCAUUGGGUAACAGUGAGUUUUCAUUUCAUUCCCAUCUUAAAUCUAAAGUUUUUUUGUUGUCACUUUGUAGUGCUUGUUCUCCAAUAUGACUUGAGAUGGAGACUGUCGAAAUUAGCAUUCUCCUGGAGCGUGCUCUCCAUGUAGGCUGCUUGAAAAUUUAUUUUUUAUCCUACUGGGGUCAGUGUGUAGAUGUAAACCAGAUGACUUGCAUAUUGCAGGAAUCCUUAGGUCAUCACCUCACUCUUCAGUGGGAGUAACUUUCACCUUUUGGAUGAAGAGACAUGCCUAAAUGUUUAGCACUCACUCGCAUUGUCCCUUGUGAAUAAUUUUUAUGACAAACAUUGUCCCAUUCUCCACUCAAAGCAUUCUCAUUAAAAUACCAUGUAUUUUAGUUACCAAAACCCACAGGUGCAGAGCUGGCAAUAAAAGUGCCCUUCUCUGUGCAUCUCUGUGACUGCAUGGCGGGAGUGAAUGUGGCUGGCUGUUACACCCGUGGCAGACUGGCAUCCUGGAUUAGGAGCAACAGAUGUUCUGCCACAAGACACGGAGUUUUGUUCUGUGAGACUAAGCUAAUUGCACUUCCUGUUUUAUCUGUUAGUAUCUCUUCAAUAGCUGAUUGGCAGUAUUAUCUGAAUCUUGCCAAAAUUCUUUGCUUUCGGCUGAUAAUGCUACCACUAGCAGAAAACUUCAGUAGUUGUUAAUGCCUUAGUGAAAUAAGCCUUCACUAACAAGUAUGACACUAACGCAUCUGUCACUCCCAUGUUGUAUCCAUUCAGUGAAUGGGUGUUCUCCCAGUAAGCGGGGCAUCAUUUGAUGCAAAGUGGUAAUGUCAGGGAGGUAUUUCCAACUGGAAAUAACAAAUCUCAAAGUUGUAAGACUGAUCACACUAAGAUUUUUGUGCUUGUGUGUGCAUGGUUAAUUUAAAAAAAAAAAAUUAAACAUUCCACUUAAGACAAUUUUGGAGCUUUCUUAUUUUCAGUGUUUCUUAAGGCAACGCUUACCUUUUUUAGUCAAAAUACCAGAAUUACCAUACUGUCAGUCUGAUUUCCUGUUCAAUUUUUUUAUGCCUCUGUAAAAUUUGUCUUUUUUUUUUUUUUUCCCCCAUUAUUGGGCUACAGCAUACCUGACAUAGUUCUCCUUUGCAUCACUUCUGUAGAUGUACAUUAUACUGAAGGGAAUUGAGCAGCUGAACAUGUUGUACUGCCUGGAGGUUAUGCAGGGGUGUGUGCGUAAUAUUCAGUGAACAUGCACUUUGAACCUGUUAAUUCAUCUAUUCAAGUUGAUAGCUACCAAUUAAUAACAGAAUUAAUGAUUUGCACUGCAGAACCCUCUUGUGGGAAUUCAGUCAAACUAACAAAGCAUGCUUCUUGGAUUCCAGUGACAGUACCUAAGCUCCUACUGCUUUUCUAAAAUAAAUGUAAUCAUAGAACUUCAGCUGAAGUUGCAGUACCUGAACACUAAUUGUACAUAAACCAGAGAGCAAGCGUGGUCCAACGGGCUUGAUUUCAUCAAAACUACCUUACCAUCUUUUUGUAGGAAGCAACAGUCAUGCGUGUCUUCUUUUAAAUGCUCAAAUAGUAUUGGCAGAAGAAAAUACUUCUCUCUGCUAAAUAUUGCAUCCAAACAGGUAAUCAAAAUUGUAGAAGAAAAAAUGCAGCAAUGCUUAGAUUUAAGAUGAAAGGUGCUAUAAUAGAAGAAGAGAAACUUUCAAACAGUUCCAUGUCGAAGUGCUCUAUAUGAGUCAUCUCAAAGCCAGGUGAGCCCUAGUACUGAACUAGAGUCACUCUCAGGUUUCUAGUAGUAGGGUAAUACUGAUAAAUAAUUUGUGGACUGAGAAUUCUUUCUUCUCUAACCGAGAUAAAUGUGGUUCAGCAGAACCGACAGAAGUUGGUCAAAAAAAGUAAAAAUUCUGGACCUGGAGAAAUACUGCUGUCAUUGUGAGGAUGAAGAUGCAUCGUGACUAAUAAAUUACUUGCUCUUAUUUGCAAGUUCAUGUGAAUCUGAGUGGUUAAAACAGCUGUGCAACCUCAAUCUGCUGGAGAAACUCGUGUGCCUGAUUCUAAUCCACGUAUUGCAAACAGUUGGGAUCCAAGGCACUACAUUAGGUACCCUCAAAGGAACAAGUGUGGGCACCCCAAUCUAAUAGAGAUGCUGUUUCUGAGCUCUUGCCUCUGAUUUCUUCACCACAUAGUUCAAAUACAAAGUAUGGAUUCUGUUCUGCUUUCUGGUCAUUUUAUUUUUCAUGAUUGGUCUGGCUCAUACAGUGACAGGGUUUAAUUGAAUGGUUGUAGACACUGGAAGUGGCAUUGAAAUAUUACUAAUAUAUCAAAGAUGCCUGAUGCGUUUUCUGAAAAGGUAAAUAGUCACUGGUGGGUUUUGUUUGGUUGGGGUUUUUGUUUGGUUUGGUUUUGGUUUUUUUUCUUUUUUAGUAAAACACAACUCAGCAUCUGGGUCUGCCUCUUUACCCAGGUAUCUCAGGAAUCUGGGAAGUAACGCACUCCUGCUUCCUCUUGCGUGCAGUUUUGCACACAGAAAACAAUUUGCUUGCUUAAGACCCCAAUAAGGAUUAAUUAGCAAUGUUUUAGGUAAGAAAAAAAUACUGAUGUGAGAAAACUCCUGUUUUUAUGGUCAUGUAUUUUUAUGUGGGAACUGUUUAACUGCAAUUAAGUGAAGACCUUGAGAAAACUGAAGCUUUGACACUAUCUAGGUGGAGGUUUUUAUGUGCUGCGCAGCCGUAUCAUGUUCAGCUUCAGGAAGCUGGGUGGCCAUUCAGUGUGGCUUCUGCUGCCAGCCCCCAAGACACCCCCUGCAGGCGCCUGCGUACUUUCUUGCAUCUCUGAGAAAAUGUUUCAUACUCACAAAUGUCCCAUUUCCGAGACCGAGGCACAGCCUAUUUUAUUGCUCAGGAGAUAACGGGACCAGAAGGUCACUGGUUUUUCUUGCACCUUCUUUGUCCCAGCUGUCUUACGCCUGCUGAGCUUUGCCUACUGUCUUUUGAUUUUUGACAACAGAGCACUU